UAUAUGUACACUGGAUUGGAUUAAGCGUGGUGCCGUCACGCCAAUUGAACGAUUUCCCGUGAAAGAUGUGUUGCGCCUUCAGCAGUGGUUAAAAGAAAUGAAGAGGAAGGACUGGAAGUCAAACCGAAAUAGCACAUUGUGUUCAGCUCAUUUUGCAAAUGACUGCUUUGAUAGGACAGGAUUCCUAAUUACAUUGAAAAAGAACAGUGUACCAACUAUAUUUGACAACCCAAAAUCAGUGUUCAUCUUGUCACCGAUUAAGGGAAUGUGGACAUGGCUAUUCAUUGUUCAAGUUCCCAUUGGAUGAACCUGAUAUUAUGAAGCAGUGGAUCGCAAAUAUAAACAUUGGACCGUGGUCUCCAUCAAGUGAUAGCUUUCUGUGUUCCGACCACUUUGAACCCUCUUGCUUUCAGAAGAAAAGUAAAAAUUAUAUAACUUUACCAAAAGGCAGUAUCCCAACGUUAUUUGGUGAAAACUUGCAGCAGACCGAAUUUCAGGAUGAAUCCGAUCGGCCCACCACAGUGAAUGUAACCAAAUUACAUGAUCACCUACACAUUUGUACCUGAUUUGCAUGCUCAGCUCCACUUUGAUGAUCAAUGGAUGGUAAAUGGAUUCCCUAACGGUUGAAUUAGUGUUAUACAAAUUUUUGAAUAAUCCGUAUGGAAUUCAGCCCACCAUAGGAUAGAGGAUAAUGGACGGAAACUUCUUAGAAUUGAGGACUUCUUUUGAACAUGAAGAAAAAUCACGUUUAAAUACAAGUUUUUCG
rnacentral:lncRNA from 1 species